AGUGAACGCUGGCGGUAGGCCUAACACAUGCAAGUCGAACGGCAGCACAGUAAGAGCUUGCUCUUACGGGUGGCGAGUGGCGGGCGGGUGAGGAAUACAUCGGAAUCUACUUUUUCGUGGGGGAUAACGUAGGGAAACUUACGCUAAUACCGCAUACGACCUACGGGUGAAAGCAGUGGAUCUUCGGACCUUGCGCGAUUGAAUGAGCCGAUGUCGGAUUAGCUAGUUGGCGGGGUAAAGGCCCACCAAGGCGACGAUCCGUAGCUGGUCUGAGAGGAUGAUCAGCCACACUGGAACUGAGACACGGUCCAGACUCCUACGGGAGGCAGCAGUGGGGAAUAUUGGGCAAUGGGCGCAAGCCUGAUCCAGCCAUACCGCGUGGGUGAAGAAGGCCUUCGGGUUGUAAAGCCCUGUUGUUGGGAAAGAAAAGCAGCAGGUUAAUACCCCGCUGUUCUGACGGUACCCAAAGAAUAAGCACCGGCUAACUUCGUG
rnacentral:rRNA from 1 species